rnacentral:misc_RNA from 1 species
GUAAUAUCAAUAAUAAUUGUUGUAAUAAUAGUAGGUAAAAAUUGUACAAGGCUAGAUAUAGAGUCAUAAUGGCAACGAUAGAGACAAUAAUGACGGUAGUGGUGGAGUACGAGGGAUGGUGAUGGCAAUAAAGGUUAAAUGUCUUCAGAUUUUUUUUUUUUUGUAUUAAAAAGUAAAUUCUUUUUGCUUCCCAUAAAACAAUCUUCUUGCUUUAAAAUAUCAAAUUUUAAUGUGUAAAUAAAUGGUAAUUUUUAAUUUAAAAAUAAAAAAGUUGUUUUUAGUAUCGAACCAAAACGCUGCUUAAAAUUUUCCCAAAGAAAAUAUCUCCAUGGAAGAUAGGAAAACACAUAGGAUCACAGUAAUAUUCCAUUGUCGCGUAAGCUCGAUGUGCUCUUGCCAAG